UCAAUUCUUUUUUUUUAAUCUAAUUUCCCUCAGGAAAUCRACACUAUAUUUUUCCAUUUGCGYGGCAUGCAAGCAAUGGGAGGUUACCUUGAAUCAUCAGUAAGGGUUAUGUCACAGACAGCAAGAUAUGAAGAAUACGAUUCAAACUACCUUCUUUAUGAAACUGUAGACUAUGCUUCUUGCUGGUAUAUCCUAUUAACAGGAUGUGUGUUCCUSGAUGGAUGCAUGUAUUUGCCUGGCAGCAGGUAAGAAAACGUUUCAAGACUUCAAGCUGUAGUUUGCGCACAUUUGCGAAGCACCAUUCAAAAAAUGCGCACAGCUUCGCACAGCUUUGCUUCUUGAAUUUUUUAUCUUGUUU